rnacentral:rRNA from 1 species
CGUAGGGACCAAGCGUUGUUCGGAUUUACUGGGCGUAAAGGGCGCGUAGGCGGCUUGACAAGUCACUUGUGAAAUCUCCGGGGCUUAACUCGGAACGGCCAAGUGAAACUGUCAUGCUAGAGUGCAGAAGGGGCAAUCGGAAUUCUUGGUGUAGCGGUGAAAUGCGUAGAUAUCAAGAGGAACACCUGAGGUGAAGACGGGUUGCUGGGCUGACACUGACGCUGAGGCGCGAAAGCCAGGGGAGCAAACGGGAUUAGAUACCCCGGUAGUCCUGGCCCUAAACGAUGAAUACUUGGUGUCUGGAGUAAAUAGUGCUCCGGGUGCCGUCGCUAACGUUUUUAGUAUUCCGCCUGGGGAGUACGCUCGCAAGAGUG